AUUGAACGCUGGCGGAAUGCUUUACACAUGCAAGUCGAGCGGCAGCGCGGUCUUCGGACUGGCGGCGAGCGGGGAACGGGUGAGUAAUACAUCGGAACAUGCCCAGUCGUGGGGGAUAACACUUCGAAAGAAGUGCUAAUACCGCAUACGUCCUGAGGGAGAAAGCGGGGGAUCGCAAGACCUCGCGCGAUUGGAGUGGCCGAUGUCAGAUUAGCUAGUUGGUGGGGUAAAGGCCUACCAAGGCAACGAUCUGUAGCUGGUCUGAGAGGAUGAUCAGCCACACUGGGACUGAGACACGGCCCAGACUCCUACGGGAGGCAGCAGUGGGGAAUUUUGGACAAUGGGGGCAACCCUGAUCCAGCCAUUCCGCGUGAGUGAAGAAGGCCUUCGGGUUGUAAAGCUCUUUCGGCAGGAACGACACGGCGAGCUCUAACAUAGCUCGCUAAUGACGGUACCUGAAGAAGAAGCACCGGCUAACUACGUGCCAGCCGCCGCCGUAAGAC
rnacentral:rRNA from 1 species